UUGAAAUCCUAUGGAUAAUUAAACUUAUUAGAUGCGGUUGUGGCGUCACUACAGAUAUUCUAUAUACUCGCCGAUUAUUUCAGUCCUGCCUAAGUAAGACUUUUGGAAACCAUGGCAAAAUAAUAAUCUUAACUAUCGAGGAGACAUUCCUCGUUAACCAACGAAGGAAAUCAACAACUUCAGAGAUACAGGAGUUAUAUUAUUUCUAUAAGAAAACGAAUUCAAUAUUACCAAUGAUUUGAAAAGUUUUUCAAAAGUUGCAAUAAUUACGAAGUUCAUUGGUCAAGGUGCAAGAAGUUGAUAAUAAUGGCUACAUUAACGUCACAUGAUUACAUGGUUGGACUUUUUAUUUUUAUGGUUAUAUCGUUAGGCUCAGGAUCUGAGUAUUUUUCAAUGGAAUGGUUAGAUAACGGGAAGAGAGGGGUAAAAUCGAACAACACUUUCAAAUAUUACAACACCGGAGUCCGCUUGGGAAUUAUUGAUCCCGAAAAAUACUCCCUGAAAUCAUUCAAACGACAUGAGAAAUACUUCAGAAAUACGCUCAAAACUUACAACAAAUUGAAAGGCGAUGAUCCUCUUACUUACGGAGAGUGGCUCUUAUUAAAUAACUACGGAAUAUUGCGCGAUACUCAGAUGUCAAUACUUGAAAAUAAAAAAAAAGCUUUGAGCAAAAGAACCAAUAAAAAACAAUUUGUUAAAACGGUCAGGAAAGGGGAUAUUUUGCUGACAAAUAAAAAAGGUACAGGUUUGGUUGGGCAUGUAGGAAUGAUGGCUACAAAUAAGUGUGCUAUAGAGAUGCCUGGUGGCAAAGGGUGGGCUUCAGGUAUAAAAGACAAUAAUAGGCGCCUAAGUGCAGGCGCUUGGUAUGACGAAUACAGUUCUACUUACACAAUGGUAUACAGGUGUCUUGGAAAGGGAGUAGCCAAUAAAGCAGGCGACUGGGCUUACCAUAACUACUACAAUCCGAAAGGGGGUCGAAAGAAGACUAUUCAUACAACUUACCGGAUAACGCCAGAUUUCAGUAAGAAGAACCCUAGCUAUUGCUCCAAGCUAGUGCUUCAGGCAUUUUACUUCACUGAGAGGCGUGUGGUAAUAGAUCAUGUAAUACGAUAUGGCCCAUUUAUAAUUCCAGCUAAAAUUACGAGUUAUUUCACUCCCCAUUGUGAGAUGUCAUAUGUGGGGAAAUUCUAGGUGCUGAAUAUUUUUGCAGACUAUAAUAUAAGAGCCAAGUUUUGUAUCUAAAAAUAUGUUAGUCAUUAAGGUAUAUAUGCAUAGGUCAAUUGAGCCUGAAAAUAAAUAAAGGUAUUUUAACCCUCAGCAAAAUAUACCUGCAUUGAUAAAAUCGGUUAAGAAUCACAUAUUUGAGUAACCUUAUUACCUUCAAAUGGUUCUCCAA